rnacentral:rRNA from 1 species
CCUACGGGAGGCAGCAGUGAGGAAUAUUGGUCAAUGGCCGUAAGGCUGAACCAGCCAAGCCGCGUGAAGGAAGAAGGAUCUAUGGUUUGUAAACUUCUUUUAUAGGGGAAUAAAGGUAUCCACGUGUGGAUAUUUGCAUGUACCCUAUGAAUAAGCAUCGGCUAACGUAGUGCCAGCAGCCGCGGUAAUACGGAGGAUGCGAGCGUUACUCGGAUUUAUUGGGUUUAAAGGGUACGUAGGUUGUUGUUUAAGUCAGCGGUGAAAGUUUGUGGCUCAACCAUAGAAUUGCCGUUGAAACUGGAAAACUUGAGUGUGGUUGAGGUAGGCAGAAUGCGUGGUGUAGCGGUGAAAUGCAUAGAUAGCACGCAGAACUCCGAUUGCGAAGGCAGCUUACUAAGCCAUAACUGACACUGAAGCACGAAAGCGUGGGGAUCAAACAGGAUUAGAUACCCUGGUAGUC